rnacentral:tRNA from 1 species
GCGCUCAUAGCUCAGCUGGAUAGAACUAAGGGGUCGGGAGUUCGAAUCUCUCUGAGCGCACCA